rnacentral:piRNA from 1 species
UCGUCAAAGAAGUUCGAAAAA